UACGUAGGUGACAAGCGUUGUCCGGAUUUACUGGGCGUAAAGAGCGCGCAGGCGGUCGUUCAAGUCGAGUGUGAAAGCCCCCGGCUCAACUGGGGAGGGUCACUCGAUACUGAUCGACUCGAAGGCAGGAGAGGGAAGUGGAAUUCCCGGUGUAGUGGUGAAAUGCGUAGAUAGUCGGGAGGAACACCAGUGGCGAAGGCGGACUUCCUGGCCUGUUCUUGACGCUGAGGCGCGAAAGCUAGGGGAGCAA
rnacentral:rRNA from 1 species